rnacentral:lncRNA from 10 species
CUUCUCUGAGAUGAGGGCGGCAACAGGAGCAAAUGCGAGCAGACAGCUGGGACGCACACCACAGCCUCCAGUGGAAGCAUUCCAAGAUCUGCAGCAAAUAUCUAGCUCAUUGGCAGAAGCAGGUUUUUGGCAUGAACAACUGUUUUUCACUUUGAUUUCGACUCCAGCAGAAGUUCUGCAAGAUGACCUGGGAAUAAAGUUGGCCAAGAAGCCUCCGAGGGGAGAUCGGCGUGUGAGGUGGAGAGCCCCGCGUCUACAUGAGGUGUGAGAUCCCAACAGGUUGACAAUGGAAGCAGAGCUGAGAAUCCGGUCAUCUUAUAUUAAGCCAGAUGC